rnacentral:rRNA from 1 species
GACAGAGGCCUCAAGCGUUAGGCGGAAUCACUGGGCUUAAAGCGUGUGUAGGCGGAUCGUUAAGUGUCUUGUGAAAUCCCACGGCUCACCCGUGGAACUGCUGGGCAUACUGGCGAUCUUGGGCCAACUAGGGGCAACUGGAACAAGCGGUGGAGCGGUGAAAUGCGUAGAUAUCGCUUGGAACGCCAAAGGUGAAAACAGGUUGCUGGGGUUGUGCCGACGCUGA